GGGUCAGUAGGUUGGUCGUGCCACCGGUACGUACUGGUCUCACUGAUUCCUCCUUCCUGAAGAACCGUAAUGCCACUAAUUUGGUGUUGCGGGGAAACAGGACUGUUACUUUGAAAAAAUUAGAGUAUUUAAAGCAAGCUAACGCUUGAAUACAUUAGCAUGGAAUAAUGAAAUAGGACGAUCGAUCCUAUUUUGUUGGUUUCUAGGAUUGACGUA
rnacentral:rRNA from 1 species